rnacentral:rRNA from 1 species
GAUGAACGCUGGCGGCGUGCCUAAUACAUGCAAGUCGAGCGAACAGAUGAGGAGCUUGCUCCUCUGACGUUAGCGGCGGACGGGUGAGUAACACGUGGAUAACCUACCUAUAAGACUGGGAUAACUUCGGGAAACCGGAGCUAAUACCGGAUAAUAUAUUGAACCGCAUGGUUCAAUAGUGAAAGACGGUUUUGCUGUCACUUAUAGAUGGAUCCGCGCCGCAUUAGCUAGUUGGUAAGGUAACGGCUUACCAAGGCAACGAUGCGUAGCCGACCUGAGAGGGUGAUCGGCCACACUGGAACUGAGACACGGUCCAGACUCCUACGGGAGGCAGCAGUAGGGAAUCUUCCGCAAUGGGCGAAAGCCUGACGGAGCAACGCCGCGUGAGUGAUGAAGGUCUUCGGAUCGUAAAACUCUGUUAUUAGGGAAGGACAAAUGUGUAAGUAACUAUGCACGUCUUGACGGUACCUAAUCAGAAAGCCACGGCUAACUACGCG